rnacentral:rRNA from 1 species
GAUGAACGCUGGCGGCGUGCCUAAUACAUGCCAGUAGAACGCUGAAGGAGGAGCUUGCUCUUCUGGAUGAGUUGCGAACGGGUGAGUAACGCGUAGGUAACCUGCCUGGUAGCGGGGGAUAACUAUUGGAAACGAUAGCUAAUACCGCAUGACAACAGUUAUUGCAUGAUAACUGUUUAAAAGGGGCAACUGCUCCACUACCAGAUGGCCCUGCGUUGUAUUAGCUAGUUGGUGAGGUAACGGCUCACCAAGGCGACGAUACAUAGCCGACCUGAGAGGGUGAUCGGCCACACUGGGACUGAGACACGGCCCAGACUCCUACGGGAGGCAGCAGUAGGGAAUCUUCGGCAAUGGACGGAAGUCUGACCGAGCAACGCCGCGUGAGUGAAGAAGGGUUUCGGAUCGUAAAGCUCUGUUGUAAGAGAAGAACGAGUGUGAGAGUGGAAAGUUCACACUGUGACGGUAUCUUACCAGAAAGGGACGGCUAACUACGUG